rnacentral:ncRNA from 1 species
GGUUGAGUGCCGCACCCUAGAUGGCUAAAGUCCAGUAGCCGAAAGCAUCACUAGCUUAUGCUCUGACCCGAGUAGCAUGGGGCACGUGGAAUCCCGUGUGAAUCAGCAAGGACCACCUUGCAAGGCUAAAUACUCCUGGGUGACCGAUAUCGAAGUAGUACCGUGAGGGAAAGGUGAAAAGAACCCCCAGUGGGUAGUGAAAUAGAACGUGAAACCGUGC